CCACGUGUCGACGCCUGCGUCACUGUAGCACGCCCACAAAACCGGCAUCCUAAGGUGGCGUUGCUCCUCGCAAGGUCAGAGAAGCGCUUGCUUGCGAUCCGCUUCAUACUGCAAGGCGCCGGCAUCCACGAACGAUCACCGUGGUCUCUCAUUGUCAAGAUGUCUCGAUUCGCCGUGUUGGCGGUCUUGCUGGUGGCCAUUGCCGUGACGGGGGCCAGCGCUCAGGGCAGGCCCAGGCUGUGCUCCCUUCCACCAGUCCAGGGAACCUGCCGCGGCUACUUCCCCGCCUUCUACUUUGACAGUUCAUCCAGAACAUGCCGCCAAUUCAUCUAUGGCGGGUGCAAGGGCAACCAGAAUCGCUUCGAAUCUUUUCGACAGUGCACCCGCGUCUGCGGCUGAUGUCGCUUACUGCUUGUUCGAAACACGGCUGCAGCCAUGAUGUAUGCUUCUUCGGACGUCCCGCUCUUUUUCGUGUCUUUGUCGUAAGUUGAUAAACUGAGGAUCCUGCUUCUUGCGUGAAAGUUUCUUGCGAGACUGCUGAUGCCUGGACAGUCUCCCGGGCCCACCACACCAGUCUGCGCUGGUCAUGCUGGCCCGAAUUGAACAGCCCGUUCUCCCACAGUUCUGGUGCGGAGUUUGUGAUGGGAGGUGGGCAUUCCCAAGCGGACGCCCUCACGCAAGUCUCUUACGCGGGAAGAAGCCGUUGGCAUGGCGACAGCUUCAAUCUAGCACAUUCCACCACCACACUAUCUACCACACCAACAAACCCAAUACAUUGCGAAUACAAAUGCGCACACUGCGCAGAAUACGGCCAAAUUGACGCUUUGCACGUG